rnacentral:tRNA from 1 species
GCUGGCGUGGCUCAGUGGAUAGAGCGUUGGCCCAUGCACCAAAGGGUCAUGGGUUCAAUUCCCAAUCAAGGGCA